AUGGAUGUAUUAUGUAUCGCUUCAAUGGACCGUUUUUUUCAAAGAUGGCGGAUCAUAGCGAGCCUCAAUAGUUCCCGGAAGUAGCUAUCGGGCGCUUGCUGCACAAUGGAGUUGAUGCCAUAGAGCCGAUAGAGUAGAGUCCACAUUUUAAAGGCUCAGCUGAUUUUGCAUUGAUGACAAAAGUAAAGGGAAGAUGAAGCACCUGUGUGGAAUUUAAAACAUAACAAUCCUGCAGGAUGUGGAGCGACUGUGUGACAGGCCAGCAGUGGAGAGGAGCGACAAUGUUACAGGUCAGCAGUGAAGAGGAGCGACAAUGUUACAGGUCAGCAGUGGAGAGGAGCGACAAUGUUACAGGUCAGCAGUGGAGAGGAGCGACAGUGUGACAGGUCAGCAGUGGAGAGGAGCGACA